AUAUAAAAUUCUUUACAGUAUUUGAUGCUGGUAAAGAAGUUGUUUGGUUAUGAAAGUUUAUCAACGAGCAUGGAGUGGCACCUUCCAUUAAUGGUCCAGUCUUUCUGUAUUGACAGCAGUACUGGAGCCAUUGCUCAAGCUAAAAAAUUGACGUUUAAUCUAAGAACCAAAUAUUUUCUGUAUUGUAAUCAACUUGUUCGAUAAGAUCGAAAUAAAGUCAAUUUUAAGAAGAUCGACUGAAAGGAGAACUUGAUCGACCCAUUGAUUAGAGCAAUCAGAUCUAAAGAGUUUAAUGAUCUAAAAUAGAAGAUGGGUAUUUGAUACUGAUCUGAUUGACUUUAGUCC
rnacentral:lncRNA from 1 species